UACGUAGGGGGCAAGCGUUGUCCGGAUUUAUUGGGCGUAAAGAGCGUGUAGGCGGCCGCACAGGUCCGUUGUGAAAACUGGAGGCUUAACCUUCAGACGUCGAUGGAAACCUGUUGGCUAGAGUCCGGAAGAGGAGAAUGGAAUUCCUGGUGUAGCGGUGAAAUGCGCAGAUAUCAGGAAGAACACCCGUGGCUAAGGCGGUUCUCUAGUACGGUACUGACGCUGAGACGCGAAAGCGUGGGGAGCGAACAGG
rnacentral:rRNA from 1 species